rnacentral:rRNA from 1 species
AGCGUAGACGGCAAGGCAAGUCUGAUGUGAAAACCCAGGGCUUAACCCUGGGACUGCAUUGGAAACUGUCUGGCUUGAGUGCCGGAGAGGUAAGCGGAAUUCCUAGUGUAGCGGUGAAAUGCGUAGAUAUUAGGAAGAACACCAGUGGCGAAGGCGGCUUACUGGACGGUAACUGACGUUGAGGCUCGAAAGCGUGGGGAGCAAACA